rnacentral:lncRNA from 1 species
CUUCAUCCCGCAACCAAUUCUUCCAUAAGCCCUCCGCUGCAUCACCACCACGGCCGCAUCACCACCACCACGUCCGCACCACUGCCGCAACCCAAUUCUUCCAUCGAGCCCUCCGCCGCCGCAUCACCACCACCACCGCCGCAUCACCACCACCACGGCCGCACCACCGCUGCAUCACCACCACCACGUCCGCACCACCGCCGCAUCACCAACACCACGGCCGCACCACCACCGCCGCAUCCCCACCUGCCUUCCCACCCCAAAAGAAAAUAUGCUUUAUGUUUGAUGGGUCUUUCGUAUCUCUUGUAAAUCAAGAUGUUGGAUCGAGUUACGUUUUGUGUGUGUGUGUAUUGCACUGGGGCUGUGUUUUUUGUUCUUGAAGUGCUUUUUUCUUCCGGCGGGUUUAGAUGGAGGAAGCAACUUUUGUUGUUUUUUCUUCUUUUGCAAAUGGCAGGUUAUGAAGAUGAAUCGGUGAUUUUUGUUUGUUUGUUUAUUUUUUUUUUUUUAUUUUUUUUUUAUUUGGCGUGCAGCAGAUCUGAAGGAGAGGGGAAGAAGAUGAUGAAGUUUUGAGAAAUUAAAUUGCAAUUUGGUUCUAUGCAAUUUGGCGAGAGGGCUUUUCUGAAAUUAGUGGGGAUUGAAUUGAAAAUUCUGAAAACUUCAUUUUAAGCUUAUGAAAAAUAUUUUGGGUAAAUUUAUAAAUUUCAAAAAUUGAUUUAAAGGGUAGGUCUUUCUAGUUCCUAAACACGAGGCCCAGUCGCACAAAGCGCGAGUGUAUAACACAUCGAGCUCGUAGGGUCUUUUUUGGCUUUGACUAUUUUUCACAGGGGGUUUUGUGCUAAUAUUUUUAACACGAGGGGUUUUUUAGCAAUUCGAGAUUACAC